AUUUCCUCAUUUUUCUCUGUCUAUUCUCUUUCCUGAGAAAACCAAAGCACUUCUGCUAUUAUGCUUUGGUUAUAGCUGAAAAUAACAUGAGUCUUGACUGUAACUGCUAUUGUAUUCUAUGAAUUUGGAAAUAUAAGGGACUGGUGCAUAGACUGUAAACUGCUGCAGUGGUCUGGCGAUUUAUUUGUGUUUUUAUAUUGUGUCAAUAUUAGGAUAGUACGGCGUAUUUUUAUCAUGCUUUACUGCCUUUCUAGAACUUUGGAGAGUUGAACACACAUAAGGAAUUAGCACUGGAGUGAGAAGAUGAUGAAGGGUGCCAAGAAAUUCCAGUGGAAAACAGCAUAGACUGCAACUGCCUAAUAAGCAACACAGCUUCCACCUAGGUUCUAAAAGCAAUAGCUGUGACUCAGGAUGACAGCAAAGGAGAAGGACAAUAAGAUGGUUGGAUACCAAGAAAGCUGCUCAGGAAACCUUACAACACAAUGGAAAAAAGUCUUACUCGGUCACCCAGGCAGGAGGGCAGUGGCAUGAUGUUGGCUCACUGCAACUUCUACCGCCCGGGUUCAAGCGAUUCUCCUGCCUCAGCCUCCCGAGUAGCUGGGAUUACACGUGCCUGCCACCGCGCCUGGAUAGUUUUUGUAUUUUUAGUAGAGAUGAGGUUUCACCAUCUUGGUCAGGCUGGUCUUGAACUCCUGACCUCGUGAUCCACCCUCCUCGGCCUCCCAAAGUCCUGGGAUUACAGGUGUGAACCACCGCGCCCAGCCGAAGAGUCAUCUUUACGAGUACUUUUCACUAUCCCUAGGAUUAAUCAGACUACUUAGCAGAGUUUCAUCUAAGCUAUUAAAACAUGAAUAUAAUGUGGAUAUACAAUAUGAAUAUGAAUGUGAUAAUGGGGAAAGGAUAUAUUAAUGCUAGUGUGUUCUCCCCAAAAAAUCUCCUACUGCAUCAGGCCUCACUUUCUCAGACACACACAUGCAAGCACACCCGGGCAUCCACACUCAGAGCAAAUGAGGUUACACUUUUCCUUGCUUAGCCUUUAUGCUCCUAUCCUGAGCUCUAAGGCUUUUGCUUCUGUUUCUCAGACUUCUGUUCCUUAUACAGAAAUAGACAAACAUACACCACACUGGAGAAGUGGGAAGAAAUCUGAAUGGGUAUGAAGAGACUCAGACCAGAUAUUUCUGGAAAUACAGAUUGGAAAUAUAAGAUUUGAGGCAGUUAUAGUUUCUUGAGCAACUACAAGAUGUGGAAAAGUUGGAAAGAAAAGAAAAACACGGUGUGUUAUAGAAGUGUCACUGAACCAGGAACUCAAUAUUUUUUUUGAAGGGUUCAUUACUGAAGACUGGAUUACAUUUCUAUUACUUUUUUGUUUUUAAAUCUUUUGUCUAUUUGGGUAAUCAAAAGCUUUCACACCACACCUUAAAGAGCCUGGAAUGUGGGGGGAUUUUACACACAUAUACACCAUUACACACUGGGACAUAUAUAGUUUUCAAGCAAGCAAAUAUAGGUUACAAAGUUACAUAGUUUAUAAAUUAAUUUGAAAAUAUGAUUAUCCUGAAAAGAUAUCAGCAUAAUUUUAACAUAGAUUGGAUAUAUGUUUUCAUUUAUAUUAAAUGCCAUUGUUUUCUAAUUAUCACAUUUUCUAAAUAAUAUUUUACUUAAAUGUGUUUUUUCUUAAUGAUAACACAAAUACAUUACUUAAAUUGAAGUUUUAGUUAAAUGAUAUUUUUAAAAAUCCUUAGUGACAAUUAUGAUACUGCUUCUGAAAAUAAAAUGUCUACAUAUUAAUAUUAAUAAAUGUAAUCAAAUAAAUAAAAUAUUUUAAAUUUAAUUUCUUUCAUAUAAAUAUAAACACUUUUUUCAUUUUUACUCUAGUAGAAAUGCAAAAAUUAUUAUUGAAAGCAAAAUUCUUUUAGAGGAGUUAAAUCAGUGCUUCUUAGAUAUUUUUAUUUCCAAAGGCUCCACCCUCAAUCUCUGCUUAGUAAGUCCUAUGCACACUCAUGAUACAAAAAAAUUUAGAUUAGACUCAUCCAGACAAAAGAGAUACCAGUUACAUUUUCCAUUCUUUCUUGCAUUUCCAUGUUACCAAUAACAGGUGUCAGAUAGAUAAGAUCAAAAGCAAUACAGGCCUGUCAUACAUUUGUUUAAAAUACAACCUGUGUGUCUUUUAGUGUUGUGGGAAGGAGGUACCAAUUUUAGUGGAUUUAACCAAACAUAUGUUGUGAGAGUGUAUUAGUCAGUUCUCACAAUGCUCUAAAGAAAUACCUGAGACUGGGUAAUUUAUAAAGAAAGGAGAUUUAAUUGGCUCACAGUUAUGAAUGCUGUAUAGGAAGCAUGAGGCUGGCAUCUGCUCAGCUUCUAGGGAGGCCUCAGAAAAAUUACAAUCACGGUGGAAAGUAAAGGGGAAACAGGCACAUCUUACAUGGCUGGAGCAGGAGCAAGAAUGAGUGAGGGAGGUGCUACAUACUUUUAAACAACCAGAUCUCAUGAUAACUCACUCACGUACUAUCAUGAGAACCACAUAGAAGAAAUGAUGCCAACCCAUUUAUGAGAACUCUGUCCCCCUGAUUCAAUGACCUCCCACUAGACCCAACCUCCAACACUGGGGAUUACAAUUCUACAAGAGAUUUGGUGGGAAUAUAGAUCCAGACAAUAUCAUUCUGCCUCUGGCCCCUCCAAAUUCAUCUUUUCACAUUGGAAAAUACAAUCAUGCCUUCUCAACAAUUCCCCAAAUUCUUAAUUCAUUGCAGCAUUAAGUCAAAACUCCAAGGUUGAAAGUAUCAUCUGAGAAAAGGCAAGUCCCUUCCACCUAUGAGCAUGUAAAAUCAAAAACAAGUUAGUUACUUCCAAGAUAAAAUGGGGUUAUAGGCAUUGGGUAAAUACUCCUGUUUCAAAAGGGAAAAUUGGCCAAAAGAAAGAGACUACAGACCCCUCACAAGUCUGAAACUCAGCAGGGCAGUCAUUAAAUCUCAACGCUCCAAAAUAAUCUCACUCGAAUCCAUGUCUCCCAUCCAGGGCACGUGGGUGCAAGCGAUUGGCUCCGGCAGCUCCGCCCCUGUGGCUUUGCAAAGUUCAACCCCUGUAACUGCUCUUGUGGGCUUGUGUUGAGUGCUUGCAGCUUUUGCAGAUUCAGGGUGCAAGCUGCUGGUAGCUCUACCAUUCUGGGGUCUGGAGAAUGGUGGCCCUCUUCUCAGGACUCCACUAGGCAAUACCCCAGUGGGGACUCUGCGUGGGGCCUCCAACCCUAGAUUUUCCCUCUGCACUGCCUUAAUAGAGGUUUUCUGAGAGGGCUUCACCCCUACAGCAGGUUUCUGCCUGGGCAUCCAUGCCUUUCCAUACAUCUGAAAUCUAGGUGGAGGCUCCCAAGCCACAUCUCUUGCACUCUGUGCCCCGACAGGCUUAACACCAUAUGGAAGCUGCCGAGGCUUAUGGCUUGCAGCCUCUGAAACAGUGAUCCAACUGCACCUGGGCACAUUUUAGGACUGGCUAGAGCUGGAGUGGCUGGGACACAGGAAACAGUGUCUGGAGGCUGCACAGAGUGGUGGGAAAACCAUUCUUUCCUUCUAGACUUCUGGGUCUGUGAUGGGUGAGCUGUCAUGAAUAUCUCUGAAAUGCCUUUGAGGCAUUUUCCCCAUUGUCUUAGAUAUUAGCACUAGGCUCCUUUUUAUUUAUGCAGCUAGCUUGAAUUCCUUCACUAAAAAUAGGUGUUUCUUUCCUACCACAUGCCCAGGCUACAAAGUUUCCAAACUUGAACAUGCUACUUCCCUUUUAUUUAGAUUUAAAUGAUUUAUUUGCUCACACAUUUGAGCAUAAGUUGUUAGAAGCAGCCAGGUAACAGUUUGAAUGUUUUGCUGCUUACACAUUUCUUCUGCCAGAUACUCUAAAUUGUCACUCUCAAGUUCAAAUUUCCACAAAUCCCUAGAGAGGAAGCACAAUGCAGUACCAGAAAUAAGCAGCAUUGGUGCAUGUUAAAACAAAGGAAACAGGGUUUCUCCUUUUUGUAGAAAGUGCUAGUUAAUAAGUAAGAAAAGCAAUGAAAAUUUGUGGGUCCAGAUAUCAAAGUGCUUCUGAAUAGUUGAAUUCAUACUGCAGAAAAUUACAGUUGGUUGAAUGCAUUUCUCAAAAUUAUUUGAAGAAUGAAACAUGUUCCCUUAUAAUGUUAAUUAAAAUGCAACAGGUGUGUGUGUGUGUAUCCAUUCAUCAUUAUGUUACAUAUGCAAAGAAAAAGACAGUAUGUACUGUAAUAUCUAGGGCUAUAUUAAACUUUUUGUGUCUGUAUUUUCUAAAAGAGAAUGAUUUAAUUAUCAGAAUUAUGUUUUAAAUAGAUGCAAGUUUAAAUUUUAUUUGUAAUACAUUCUGAGAGUUGGUAAGUGUUUUUAUUCUAAAAUAUUCACAUUGUUCCCAGUAGAAUCGAUAUAGAAUUUAUGAGAGCUUAAAUUAAUUACUAUAUGCAAAUGUUUGCAAUAAGCCUACUUGCAUAAUACUUUCUCUAUUUUUCACCAUGCCUUCAACCCUACUGUAUGUAUUACAUAGCAAAAGAUGGAAAAAUGAGUGUUUCACCUUGUUUGAAAAGUUUCACAAAAUUAAAUUUGGAAGAAAGUCUUUGUAUAUUUUUUAAGUAUCUUCAGAUCUUCCUUCUAUAAUAAAAAUUAUAAAGAUUAGUUUAACUUUGUACAUUAUGUCUCUUUUCACAAAAAGUGUUUUCAGUCUUAAAAGGAACAAAAUGAUAACUAAGUAUUUCCAGAAAUAAAAUAGUUCAAGAAGUUCAAA
rnacentral:lncRNA from 10 species